ACGGCCGAAAGGAGUGGCGACUCCCCUGUCUCAGAGAAUUAAGCAUCUACCAUGAUGGCAGUGACGAAGAGAUUGAACAUUGGGAGUUGCCUUCCUCUAUUCAUUCACUUGGUAUAGACAAUCUGAAAACAUUAAGCAGCCAACAUCUCAAAAGCCUCACCUCUCUUCAAUAUCUAUCUAUUCAGGGUAAUUUACCUCAAAUUCAGUCAAUGCUGGAACAAUGCCAGUUUUCCUCCUUUUCGCGCCUCACUUCGCUUCAAACUCUACAAAUCGUGAAUUUCCCUAAUCUCCAAUUAAUUUCCGAAUCAGCACU
rnacentral:lncRNA from 1 species